rnacentral:rRNA from 1 species
UUAAAAAGCUCGUAGUUGGAUUUCUGUUACGGCGAGUCGGCCGGCUCUUCGGAGUUGUAGCUAGAUUUCGUGUAGCAUCUUGGCGUAAUUACCACUGGCAUUCAUUUGUUGGUGUGUAGGACCGCCUCGUUUACUUUGAGAAAAUCAAUUCGUUCAAAGAAGACUAUCGUUUUGAAUGUAUUAGCAUGGAAUAAUAAUAUAGGACUUUUGGUUCUAUUUUGUUGGUUGUUCGAGAACCAAAGUAAUGAUUGAUAGGGACAGUUGGGGGCAUCAGUAUUCUGAAGCGAGAGGUGAAAUUCUUGGACCUUCGGAAGACUAACAGCUGCGAAAGCGUUUGCCUAGCAUGUUCUCUUUAAUCAAGAACGAAGGUUGGGGGAUCGAAGACGAUCAGAUACCGUCGUAGUCUCAACUAUAAACUAUGCCAGCUAGGGAUGAGUGGAUGUUUAAUUACGACUCCAUUCGCACCUUAUGAGAAAUCAAAGCAUUUGGGUUCCGGGGGGAGUAUGGUCGCAAGGCUGAAACUUAAAGGAAUUGACGGGAGGGCACCACCAGGAGUGGAGCCUGUGGCUUAAUUUGACUCAACACGGGAAAAUUACCAGGACCGGACAUAGCGAGGAU